rnacentral:rRNA from 1 species
ACGGAAGGCAGCAGUGGGGGAUAUUGCACAAUGGGGGGAACCCUGAUGCAGCGACGCCGCGUGAGUGAAGAAGUAUUUCGGUAUGUAAGGCUCUAUCAGCAGGAAAGAUAAUGACGGUACCUGACUAAGAAGCACCGGCUAAAUACGUGCCAGCAGCCGCGGUAAUACGUAUGGUGCAAGCGUUAUCCGGAUUUACUGGGUGUAAAGGGAGCGCAGACGGCAUGGCAAGCCAGAUGUGAAAGGUGGGGGCUCAACCCCCAAGCUGCAUUUGGAACUGUCAAGCUAGAGUAUCGGAGAGGUAAGUGGAAUUCCUAGUGUAGCGGUGAAAUGCGUAGAUAUUAGGAGGAACACCAGUGGCGAAGGCGGCUUACUGGACGAUAACUGACGCUGAGGCUCGAAAGCGUGGGGAGCAAACAGGAUUAGAUACCCUGGUA